rnacentral:lncRNA from 1 species
CAGAAGCAAAAUCCUUUUACUUACCAAUUCCUUAACCUGGCUGUGAUUCCAAACAGUGAUUUUUACAUCACCCCUGCAUUAUCCCUUUUCCAGAAAAAGAUUCUUUUGAAGAUGGGCUGACUGAACUGGUAUCUGACACUCAAAAUGUGGUGAAGCUGGGUGGUGUGUCGAAACAAACUGGAGUCUCGUUGGCAUUGCCCAGUUGGCUCAGCAAGUAAUUGUGAUCUCUGCAUAACCCAGUCACAUACUGCAGGAAUGCAUUGAUUUUUCGAGUUGGAAAGUAGGU